AACAUCCUCAAGGGCUUUGCCACCUCCCUGUCCAUUGUGCUGUCCACUGUUGCCUCCAUUCGCCUCUUUGGCUUCCACCUGGACCCAUUAUUUGCCCUGGGUGCAGGGCUCGUCAUUGGUGCCGUCUACCUCUACAGCCUUCCCCGAGGUGCAGUCAAAGCCAUAGCCUCUGCCUCUGCCUCUGCCUCUGGGCCGUGCAUUCACCAGCAGCCUCCUGGGCAGCCACCACCACCGCAGCUGUCUUCCCGAGGAGACCUCAUCACGGAGCCCUUUCUGCCAAAGUUGCUCACCAAGGUGAAGGGCUCGUAGCUGCUGGAAUUGAAGACGCUGGCCUGCCUUCGUUCUCCCUUCUUGCCCUGGCCCAGCUGGGACUAAACUCUUAUCAGUAUUAGGGGUAGGGUGAGGUAGACAUGGAACUAACUCCCUGUCCCCACCAACCCUGCCCCACGUAGGGCUGACAUGACUGACUAACCUCUGUUAAUGGGCCCACCUCAACUCCUGCUAUCUUUACAGUAUUUCUUAGGUGAGUUUCUGCAAAUAAAAUGUGUUUUGCAUCUUGUGAA
rnacentral:lncRNA from 1 species